rnacentral:rRNA from 1 species
GACGAACGCUGGCGGCGCGCUUAACACAUGCAAGUCGAACGGAAAGGCCUGCUUUCCCUUGUGGAUUGCGGGUACUCGAGUGGCGAACGGGUGAGUAACACGUGAGUGAUCUGCCCCCAACUUGGGUAUAAGCCUGGGAAACUGGGUCUAAUUCCCGAUAGGACUGCAGGGUGGUGCCUGUGGUGGAAAACGAUUUUCUAGUGGUUGGGGAUGAGCUCGCGGCCUAUCAGCUUGUUGGUGGGGUAAUGGCCUACCAAGGCGGCGACGGGUAGCCGGCCUGAGAGGGUGGACGGCCACAUUGGGACUGAGAUACGGCCCAGACGCCUACGGGAGGCAGCAGUGGGGAAUAGUGCACAAUGGGCGGAAGCCUGAUGCAGCGACGCCGCGUGGGGGAUGACGGCCUUCGGGUUGUAAACUCCUUUCGACCGCGAGGAAGCCACGUGGUUGGAAGGGUGGUGACGGUAGUGGUAGAGGAAGCACCGGCUAACUACGUG